rnacentral:rRNA from 1 species
GAUCGAGGGCGAAGCCUGACCGAGCGACGCCGCGUGCAGGAAGAAGGCCUUCGGGUUGUAAACUGCUUUUCUACGGGAGAAAGCCCAGUCGUACUUUUACUGGAAGCGUUUGUGUUUGGAGAAAACACUCGGGAAGUGUUUUCCUGCGCACAGAUGUUUGUUGUAAAAGUACGACUGGGUUGAUAGUACCGUAGGAAUAAGGCGCUGCAAACUACGUGCCAGCAGCCGCGGUAAUACGUAGGCGCCAAGCGUUAUCCGGAUUUAUUGGGCGUAAAGGGUGUGUAGGGGGUCUUGU